GAUGAACGCUGGCGGCGUGCCUAAUACAUGCAAGUCGAGCGAAUGGAUUAAGAGCUUGCUCUUAUGAAGUUAGCGGCGGACGGGUGAGUAACACGUGGGUAACCUGCCCAUAAGACUGGGAUAACUCCGGGAAACCGGGGCUAAUACCGGAUAACAUUUUGAACCGCAUGGUUCGAAAUUGAAAGGCGGCUUCGGCUGUCACUUAUGGAUGGACCCGCGUCGCAUUAGCUAGUUGGCGAGGUAACGGCUCACCAAGGCAACGAUGCGUAGCCGACCUGAGAGGGUGAUCGGCCACACUGGGACUGAGACACCGCCCAGACUCCUACGGGAGGCAGCAGUAGGGAAUCUUCCGCAAUGGACGAAAGUCUGACGGAGCAACGCCGCGUGAGUGAUGAAGGCUUUCGGGUCGUAAAACUCUGUUGUUAGGGAAGAACAAGUGCUAGUUGAACAAGCUGGCACCUUGACGGUACCUAACCAGAAAGCCACGGCUAACUACGUGCCAGCCGCCGCAGUAA
rnacentral:rRNA from 1 species